GAUGAACGCUAGCUACAGGCUUAACACAUGCAAGUCGAGGGGCAGCAUGAACAUAGCUUGCUAUGUUUGAUGGCGACCGGCGCACGGGUGCGUAACACGUAUCCAAUCUACCCAUGGCUCGGGGAUAGCCUUUCGAAAGAAAGAUUAAUACCCGAUGGUCUCGGUUUAAGGCAUCUUAGACUGAGUAAAGAUUUAUCGGCGAUGGCUGAGGAUGCGUCUGAUUAGGUAGAUGGCGGGGUAACGGCCCACCAUGCCUACGAUCAGUAGGGGUUCUGAGAGGAAGGUCCCCCACAUUGGAACUGAGACACGGUCCAAACUCCUACGGGAGGCAGCAGUGAGGAAUAUUGGUCAAUGGACGAGAGUCUGAACCAGCCAAGUAGCGUGAAGGAUGACUGCCCUAUGGGUUGUAAACUUCUUUUGUUUGGGAAUAAAGUUCGGGACGUGUCCCGUUUUGUAUGUACCAUUCGAAUAAGCAUCGGCUAAUUCCGUGCCAGCCGCCGCUGUAAAAC
rnacentral:rRNA from 1 species